CUGUCCCAUGGAUCGAGAGUCCAUCUGGGGGGGGCCUCUGUCAGUUCCUCAAGCAUUCACCGUCACCAGGGUUUGAGCUGGCCUGUUUUCCCAUGGAAAAGGAGGUUUGAGAGUCCAUCUGGGGUCUGUGUCCUGGGGCAACCGGAGUAGGGGACCCCGGGGACACCGGGGCACCCUGGCCCACUCGGAUGUCGGCCAUGGGCCUGGCCGGAGCCCUUUCAUUCCUCAAGCAUUCAGGAGGACCCAGCAGGUGCAGGCGCUUCUCCAGGGGCUGCCUGUGGCCCCACACACAGAGCGGAUGGCCCCCCAGGGCUCCGGGCUAGUCAAGGGUCAGAGGGUGACAGCAGCUAUGAGGAGAGGUCGGGUCCACAGGAACUUUCAUGUGAUGCCCCCCUGCCCUCCUCUAGAUAUGGAUGCAACAAAUAUCUGAAUGAUGACAUCGUGGGAUCCGUGGAGCAGUGCAAAGUGGCCAUCUCCUUCAUCCUGGACAUCUGGCUGGAGUACUAUCAGGAGGAUUUUCAUCAGCCACCAGAAUUUCUCUUCCUGAGGAAGCUUCUGGCAUUCAUGGGGCUCAACAUGCCAGGCUCAGACCUGGAAAACUGGGCCCAGCGUUACCUGGAAUGAUUCAGUCUGGGGAGACCUCCCAGGGCUCUUGUACUCACACACGUUGAGCAGUGGGAAGAGUGUCCUUGAUUUGUGAGGGAC
rnacentral:lncRNA from 1 species